GUUGAAUGGCCGCAGUAUUUUGACUGUGCGAAGGUAGCAUAAUAAUUAGUUUUUUAAUUGAAAGCUGGAAUGAAUGAUUGGACGAGAAAAAAUCUGUCUCAAUUUUAUUUAAUUAGAAUUUUAUUUUUAAGUAAAAAAGCUUAAAUAUUUUUAAAAGACGAGAAGACCCUAUAGAGUUUUAUAUAUUUAUUUUUUAUUUAUUUUUUAGUAUUAUAGAAUUUAUAUUAUUAAAUAGUAUUUAGUUGGGGUGAUUAAAAAAUUAAUAAAACUUUUUUUUUAUUAUUACAUUAAUAUAUGAUUAAUUGAUCCAUUUUUUAUGAUUAUAAGAUUAAAUUACCUUAGGGAUAACAGCGUUAUUUUUUUUUAGAGUUCUAAUCGAAAAAAAAGUUUGCGACCUCGAUGUUGGAUUAAAAUUAAUAUUUGGUGAANAAGCUAAGUUAUUAGGUCUGUUCGACCUUUGAAAUUUUACA
rnacentral:rRNA from 1 species